rnacentral:rRNA from 1 species
AUUGAACGCUGGCGGCAUGCUUUACACAUGCAAGUCGAACGGCAGCGCGGGCUUCGGCCUGGCGGCGAGUGGCGAACGGGUGAGUAAUACAUCGGAACGUGCCCAGUAGUGGGGGAUAGCUCGGCGAAAGCCGGAUUAAUACCGCAUACGACCAGAGGGUGAAAGCGGGGGAUCUUCGGACCUCGCGCUAUUGGAGCGGCCGAUGGCAGAUUAGCUAGUUGGUGGGGUAAAGGCCUACCAAGGCGACGAUCUGUAGCUGGUCUGAGAGGACGACCAGCCACACUGGAACUGAGACACGGCCCAGACUCCUACGGGAGGCAGCAGUGGGGAAUUUUCCACAAUGGGCGAAAGCCUGAUCCAGCAAUGCCGCGUGUGUGAUGAAGGCCUUCGGGUUGUAAAGCACUUUUGGCGGGAACGAAAAGGACUGUGCCAAUACCACGGUUCGAUGACGGUACCCGCAGAAUAAGCACCGGCUAACUACGUG